rnacentral:rRNA from 1 species
UAGUCCACGCCGUAAACGAUGCUCACUCGCUGUAUGCGAUACACAGUAUGCGGCCAAGCGAAAGCAUUAAGUGAGCCACCUGGGGAGUACGUCGGCAACGGUGAAACUCAAAGGAAUUGACGGGGGCCCGCACAAGCGGAGGAACAUGUGGUUUAAUUCGAUGAUACGCGAGGAACCUUACCUGGGCUUAAAUGUAGGUUGACAGAGCCAGAAAUGGUUUUUUCUUCGGACAACUUACAAGGUGCUGCAUGGUUGUCGUCAGCUCGUGCCGUGAGGUGUCGGGUUAAGUCCCAUAACGAGCGCAACCCUUACCGUUAGUUACCAUCAGUUUGGCUGGGGACUCUAACGGGACUGCCACCGUAAGGUGAGAGGAAGGUGGGGAUGACGUCAAAUCAGCACGGCCCUUAUGUCCAGGGCUACACACGUGUUACAAUGGCCGGUACAAAGGGCAGCUACUAUGUGAAUAGGUGCAAAUCCCAAAAGCCGGUCUCAGUUCGGAUCGAAGUCUGCAACCCGACUUCGU